UUCGAGCCUCCAGCGCGUCACCGUCGCGCUCAAUCACGCUUUUGCUCUAAGCCUCGAGUUGCCCGAGGACUAUUUCGAUGAGGACUAUCGGCGCCCAGGAAUGACGCUGAUGCUGAACUAUUAUCCGCCCGUCGAUCCGGCCAAGCUCAAAUCGACCCAGUGGAGCUUUUCGCCGCACACCGACUACACGGCCUUCACGAUCCUGCUG
rnacentral:misc_RNA from 1 species